rnacentral:sRNA from 1 species
CGCGCCUGCGGUGGAUCAAGCCCGGGCCUUCUGACCGCGGUUUUGCGCGGCCGGUUUUGCAGGCAAUCGGCGCGGGUACAGAUCCGGUAACACAAGCAAUGCUUGUUUCAAAGCUGUU